GGGUUGUGAGGUUAAGCGACUAAGCGUACACGGUGGAUGCCCCGGCAGUCAGAGGCGAUGAAGGACGUGCUAAUCUGCGAAAAGCGUCGGUAAGGUGAUAUGAACCGUUAUAACCGGCGAUGUCCGAAUGGGGAAACCCAGUGCAAUUCGUUGCACUAUCGUUAACUGAAUACAUAGGUUAACGAGGCGAACCGGGGGAACUGAAACAUCUAAGUACCCCGAGGAAAAGAAAUCAACCGAGAUUCCCCCAGUAGCGGCGAGCGAACGGGGAGCAGCCCAGAGUCUGAAUCAGCUUGUGUGUUAGUGGAACGGUCUGGAAAGUCCGACGGUACAGGGUGAUAGUCCCGUACACCAAAAUGCACAGGCUGUGAACUCGAAGAGUAGGGCGGGACACGUGGUAUCCUGUCUGAAUAUGGGGGGACCAUCCUCCAAGGCUAAAUACUCCUGACUGACCGAUAGUGAACCAGUACCGUGAGGGAAAGGCGAAAAGAACCCCGGCGAGGGGAGUGAAAAAGAACCUGAAACCGUGUACGUACAAGCAGUGGGAGCACCUUCGGGUGUGACUGCGUACCUUUUGUAUAAUGGGUCAGCGACUUAUAUUCUGUAGCAAGGUUAACCGUAUAGGGGAGCCGCAGGGAAACCGAGUCUUAACUGGGCGUUAAGUUGCAGGGUAUAGACCCGAAACCCGGUGAUCUAGCCAUGGGCAGGUUGAAGGUUGGGUAACACUAACUGGAGGACCGAACCGACUAAUGUUGAAAAAUUAGCGGAUGACUUGUGGCUGGGGGUGAAAGGCCAAUCAAACCGGGAGAUAGCUGGUUCUCCCCGAAAGCUAUUUAGGUAGCGCCUCGUGAAUUCAUCUUCGGGGGUAGAGCACUGUUUCGGCUAGGGGGUCAUCCCGACUUACCAACCCGAUGCAAACUACGAAUACCGAAGAAUGUUAUCACGGGAGACACACGGCGGGUGCUAACGUCCGUCGUGAAGAGGGAAACAACCCAGACCGCCAGCUAAGGUCCCAAAGUCAUGGUUAAGUGGGAAACGAUGUGGGAAGGCACAGACAGCCGGGAUGUUGGCUUAGAAGCAGCCAUCAUUUAAAGAAAGCGUAAUAGCUCACUGGUCGAGUCGGCCUGCGCGGAAGAUGUAACGGGGCUAAACCAUGCACCGAAGCUGCGGCAGCGACACUAUGUGUUGUUGGGUAGGGGAGCGUUCUGUAAGCCUGCGAAGGUGUGCUGUGAGGCAUGCUGGAGGUAUCAGAAGUGCGAAUGCUGACAUAAGUAACGAUAAAGCGGGUGAAAAGCCCGCUCGCCGGAAGACCAAGGGUUCCUGUCCAACGUUAAUCGGGGCAGGGUGAGUCGACCCCUAAGGCGAGGCCGAAAGGCGUAGUCGAUGGGAAACAGGUUAAUAUUCCUGUACUUGGUGUUACUGCGAAGGGGGGACGGAGAAGGCUAUGUUAGCCGGGCGACGGUUGUCCCGGUUUAAGCAUGUAGGCUGGUUAUCCGAGGCAAAUCCGGAUAAUCAAGGCUGAGGUGUGAUGACGAGGCACUACGGUGCUGAAGUAACAAAUGCCCUGCUUCCGGGAAAAGCCUCUAAGCAUCAGGUAACAUCAAAUCGUACCCCAAACCGACACAGGUGGUCAGGUAGAGAAUACCAAGGCGCUUGAGAGAACUCGGGUGAAGGAACUAGGCAAAAUGGUGCCGUAACUUCGGGAGAAGGCACGCUGGUGUGUAGGUGAAGCCCCUGCGGGUGGAGCUGAGACCAGUCGAAGAUACCAGCUGGCUGCAACUGUUUAUUAAAAACACAGCACUGUGCAAACACGAAAGUGGACGUAUACGGUGUGACGCCUGCCCGGUGCCGGAAGGUUAAUUGAUGGGGUUAUCCGUAAGGAGAAGCUCUUGAUCGAAGCCCCGGUAAACGGCGGCCGUAACUAUAACGGUCCUAAGGUAGCGAAAUUCCUUGUCGGGUAAGUUCCGACCUGCACGAAUGGCGUAAUGAUGGCCGGGCUGUCUCCACCCGAGACUCAGUGAAAUUGAACUCGCUGUGAAGAUGCAGUGUACCCGCGGCAAGACGGAAAGACCCCGUGAACCUUUACUAUAGCUUGACACUGAACAUUGAGCCUUGAUGUGUAGGAUAGGUGGGAGGCUUUGAAGCGUGGACGCCAGUCUGCGUGGAGCCAACCUUGAAAUACCACCCUUUAAUGUUUGAUGUUCUAACGUUGGCCCCUGACCGGGGUUGCGGACAGUGUCUGGUGGGUAGUUUGACUGGGGCGGUCUCCUCCCAAAGCGUAACGGAGGAGCACGAAGGUUAGCUAAUCCUCGGUCGGACAUCAGGAGGUUAGUGCAAUGGCAUAAGCUAGCUUGACUGCGAGCGUGACGGCGCGAGCAGGUGCGAAAGCAGGUCAUAGUGAUCCGGUGGUUCUGAAUGGAAGGGCCAUCGCUCAACGGAUAAAAGGUACUCCGGGGAUAACAGGCUGAUACCGCCCAAGAGUUCAUAUCGACGGCGGUGUUUGGCACCUCGAUGUCGGCUCAUCACAUCCCGGGGGCUGAAGUAGGUCCCAAGGGUAUGGCUGUUCGCCAUUUAAAGUGGUACGCGAGCUGGGUUUAGAACGUCGUGAGACAGUUCGGUCCCUAUCUGCCGUGGGCGCUGGAGAAUUGAGGGGGGCUGCUCCUAGUACGAGAGGACCGGAGUGGACGCAUCACUGGUGUUCGGGUUGUCAUGCCAAUGGCACUGCCCGGUAGCUAAAUGCGGAAGAGAUAAGUGCUGAAAGCAUCUAAGCACGAAACUUGCCCCGAGAUGAGUUCUCCCUGAGACUUUAAGUCUCCUGAAGGAACGUUGAAGACGACGACGUUGAUAGGCCGGGUGUGUAAGCGCAGCGAUGCGUUGAGCUAACCGGUACUAAUGAACCGUGAGGCUUAACCUUACAACGCCGAAG
rnacentral:rRNA from 1 species